rnacentral:rRNA from 1 species
CUGUCUUGUAAUUUGAAUGAUGGGAAUUUAAACCUCUUCCAGAGUAUCAAUUGGAGGGCAAGUCUGGUGCCAGCAGCCGCGGUAAUUCCAGCUCCAAUAGCGUAUAUUAAAAUUGUUGCAGUUAAAAAGCUCGUAGUUGAAUUUCUGCUGCAUUGCAUUUUCUCCUAUACGAGUUUUUGCAUUGUGGCUUAUUUCGGUUAUAAAAUUAAUUUUAUUUCCGGAUGUUUACUUUGAGAAAAUUAGAGUGCUCAAAGCAGGCUUUUGCCUUGAAUAGUUUAGCAUGGAAUAAUAAAGUAGGACUUUGGUUCUAUUUUGUUGGUUUUAGGUACCAAAGUAAUGGUUAAUAGGAACAGUUGGGGGCAUUCGUAUUUAACUGUCAGAGGUGAAAUUCUUAGAUUUGUUAAAGACGAACUACUGCGAAAGCAUUUGCCAAGGAUGUUUUCAUUAAUCAAGAACGAAAGUUAGGGGAUCGAAGACGAUCAGAUACCGUCGUAGUCCUAACCAUA